rnacentral:rRNA from 1 species
ACGCUCGACACCUACGGGAGGCAGCAGUGGGGAAUAUUGCACAAUGGGGGAAACCCUGAUGCAGCGACGCCGCGUGGAGGAAGAAGGUCUUCGGAUUGUAAACUCCUGUUGUUGGGGAAAAAGAGGAUGGUACCCAACAAGGAAGUGACGGCUAACUACGUGCUAGCAGCUGCGUAUCUGAGGCGGGCGUGGACGAAGGC